UCUUUUCUUUUCUUUUCUUCUUGAUCGAACAGAGGAGGGACACGGAGGCAGGGGGUUGGUACUCUGAUGAGGUGCGACAGUAUGAUCAUAAUCCAACGAUGGAUGGUGGGGUGUGGCUGAUGGUGGCCAGCAGCAGAUGGCCGAUGGUGAAGAGGAGAACGACAGCAAAAUCAAGGAAAAAUUUCAAAAAAUAGGAGAUUUUUUUGCGACUAAUUUCGGACAACACCGAUGGCGAGGCCUUGGGCUAGGGGAGAGAGAAGAGGGAGAGGAAGAGGAAGAAGGAGAAGGGCUUACCUCGAGCUCCGGCAGUAUCUCUGGCUUCAAUUUUCGGUGAGCAUGGGUUUAAGAAAUUUGGUAAAAUGAGAAAGAAAGAGAGAGGAAGAAGAAAGGAGGUUGGGCUUAUCAUGGGAUCCUUUGGAGGGA
rnacentral:lncRNA from 1 species